rnacentral:rRNA from 1 species
GACCGAGGGUGCAAACGUUGCUCGGAAUCACUGGGCGUAAAGCGCACGUAGGCGGACUCUUAAGUCGGUGGUGAAAUCCUGGAGCUCAACUCCAGAACUGCCUUCGAUACUGAGAGUCUCGAGUCCGGGAGAGGUGAGUGGAACUGCGAGUGUAGAGGUGAAAUUCGUAGAUAUUCGCAAGAACACCAGUGGCGAAGGCGGCUCACUGGCCCGGUACUGACGCUGAGGUGCGAAAGCGUGGGGAGCAAACAGG